rnacentral:rRNA from 1 species
GACGAACGCUGGCGGCGUACUUAAAACAUGCAAGUCGAACGGAAAGGCCCUGCUUUUGUGGGGUGCUCGAGUGGCGAACGGGUGAGUAACACGUGAGUAACCUGCCCUUGACUUUGGGAUAACUUCAGGAAACUGGGGCUAAUACCGGAUAGGAGCUCCUGCUGCAUGGUGGGGGUUGGAAAGUUUCGGCGGUUGGGGAUGGACUCGCGGCUUAUCAGCUUGUUGGUGGGGUAGUGGCUUACCAAGGCUUUGACGGGUAGCCGGCCUGAGAGGGUGACCGGCCACAUUGGGACUGAGAUACGGCCCAGACUCCUACGGGAGGCAGCAGUGGGGAAUAUUGCACAAUGGGCGGAAGCCUGAUGCAGCAACGCCGCGUGCGGGAUGACGGCCUUCGGGUUGUAAACCGCUUUCGCCUGUGACGAAGCGUGAGUGACGGUAAUGGGUAAAGAAGCACCGGCUAACUACGUG